UACGAAGGGGGCUAGCGUUGUUCGGAAUUACUGGGCGUAAAGCGCGCGCAGGCGGUCUUCCAAGUCAGUGGUGAAAGCCCGGAGCUCAACUCCGGAAUUGCCAUUGAAACUGUGAGACUGGAGUACGAGAGAGGUGAGUGGAAUUCCCAGUGUAGAGGUGAAAUUCGUAGAUAUUGGGAAGAACACCGGUGGCGAAGGCGGCUCACUGGCUCGUAACUGACGCUCAGGCGCGAAAGCGUGGGGAGCAAACAGGG
rnacentral:rRNA from 1 species